AAGCCAUACCUUCUUCAAAUUUCUCAUGCCCUCAAAACUAGCAUAGAUAGCUUUCAAGUUCUUACAAUUUGUAAAACUAAAUUCUUGAAUAGAUGUGAGGUUGCUAAAUCCUUUGUGUAUCUCUUUCAACUCCAAGCAACCAUCUAAUAACAAUAUUUGUAAGGAUAGGAGUGCAUCAAAUGCAUCAUCAUCAAACUUCAUUUUUACACAAUUUUGAAGAUCUAAAUACUCUAAUGAUGAUAGUAUCUUCAAAUCUAAAGGCAUUUCUUCUAAGUUUUCACAUCCAUCAAGCCAUAUCUUCUUCAAAUUUGUCAUGCCCUCAAAACUAGCAUAGAUGGCUUUCAAGUUCUUACAAUUUGUAAAACUAAGUUCUUGAAUAGAUGUGAGGUUGCUAAAUCUUUCAUGCACCUCUUUCAAGUCCAAGCAACCAUCUAAUAAUAAUAUUUGUAAGGAUAGGAGUGCAUUAAAUGCAUCAUCAUCAAACUUCAUUUUUAUACAAUCUUGAAGAUCUAAAUACUUCAAUGAUGAUAGUGUCUUCAAACCUAAUGGCAUGUCUUCCAAGUUUUCACAUCCAUCAAGGCAUAUCUUCUUCAAAUUUUUCAUGCCCUCAAAACUAGCAUAGAUGGCUUUCAAGUUCUGACAAUUUACAAAACUAAGUUCUUGAAUAGAUGUGAGGUUGCUAAAUCCUUCAUGUACCUCUUUCAAGUCAAAGCAACCAUCUAAUAAUAAUAUUUGUAGGGAUAGGAGUGCAUCAAAUGCAUCAUCAUCAAACUUCAUAUUUGCACAAUCUUGAAGAUUUAAAUACUCCAAUGAUGAUAGUAUCUUUAAAUCCAAUGGCAUGACUUCUAAGUUUUUACAUCCGUCAAGCCAUAUCUUCUUCAAAUUUGUCAUACCCUCAAAACUAACAUGAAUGGCUUUCAAGUUCUUGCAAUUUGUAAAACUAAGUUCUUGAAUAGAUGUGAGGUUGCUAAAUCCUUCAUGCACCUCUUUCAACUCCAAGCAACCAUCUAAUAAUAAUAUUUGUAAAGAUAGGAGUGCAUCAAAUGCAUCAUCAUCAAACUUAAUUUUUAUACAAUUUUGAAGAUCUAAAUACUCCAAUGAUGAUAGUGUCUUCAAAUCUAAAAGCAUGUCUUCUAAGUGUUCACAUCCAUUAAGCCAUAUCUUCUUCAAAUUUGUCAUGCCCUCAAAACUAGCAUGGAUGGCUUUCAAGUUCUUGCAAUUUUUUAAACUAAGUUCUUGAAUAGAUGUGAGGUUCUUGAAUCCUUCAUGCACCUCUUUCAAGUCAAAGCAACCAUCUAAUAACAAUAUUUGUAGGGAUAGGAGUGCAUCAAAUGCAUCAUCAUCAAACUUCAUAUUUGUACAAUCUUGAAGAUUUAAAUACUCCAAUGAUGAUAGUGUCUUCAAACCUAAUGGCAUGUCUUCCAAGUUUUCACAUCCAUCAAGCCAUAUCUUCUUCAAAUUUGUCAUGCCCUCAAAACUAACAUGGAUGGCUUCCAAAUUCAUGCAAUUUGUAAAACUAAGUUUUUGAAUAGAUGUUAGAUUGCUAAAUCCUUUAUGCACCUCUUUCAACUCCAAGCAACCAUCUAAUAACAAUAUUUGUAAGGAUAGGAGUGCAUCAAAUGCACCAUUAUCAAACUUCAUUUUUGUACAAUUUUGAAGAUCUAAAUACUCUAAUGAUGAUAGUGUCAUCAAACCUAAUGGCAUGUCUUCUAAAUUUUCACAUCCAUCAAGCCAUACCUUCUUCAAAUUUGUCAUGCCCUCAAAAUUAGCAUGGAUGGCUUUUAAGUUCUUGCAAUUUGUAAAACUAAGUUCUUGAAUAGAUGUAAGGUUGCUGAAUCCUUCAUGCAUCUCUUUUAAGUCCAAGCAACCAUCUAAUACUAAUAUUUGUAAGGAUAAGAGUGCAUCAAAUGCAUCAUCAUCGAACUUCAUUUUUGUACAAUUUUGAAGAUUUAAAUACUCUAAUGAUAAUAGUGCCUUCAAAUUGAAUAGCGUGUCUUCUAAGUUUUCACAUCCAUUAAGCCAUAUCUUUUUCAAAUUUGUCAUGCCCUCAAAACUAGCAUAGAUGGCUUUCAAGUUCUUGCAAUGUUUAAAACUAAGUUCUUGAAUAGAUAUGAGGUUGCUAAAUCCUUCAUGUACCUCUUUCAACUCCAAGCAACCAUCUAAUAACAAUAUUUGUAAGGAUAGGAGUGCAUCAAAUGCAUCAUCAUCAAACUUCAUUUUUGCACAAUUUUGA
rnacentral:lncRNA from 1 species